UUGGACAACAGAUCUGAUGAAGCUUUAAGGUUCUCUGUCCCAGCUCAAGCAACAAGUGGUGUGUGUUUGGGUUUCUCUACAUAGGUUCCACUGGGUGCAACUGCACCAGCUCCCUACCAUAUGCUUAUGCCAACGCUUACAUAAUAGGAACACCCACUUUUCAGUUUCAUGUUUUUCUUUAGACAAUGUGGUCUUGUCAGAUGCCAGUAGUUUUUGGCUCCUGCAAUGACAGCUGUUUUUACUACUCAAGAGACAAGCUACAGGUGUGGAUGAUUCCUGCAUGGCCUUUCCCCUUGUUUUUAGUGGGCAAUAAAUCACUGUUACUUCAACACAUGAAAUUCAGCUGUUAAAUGCACCUUGCUGCAGUAUGGUAUUUUGAUGAGAAUGUAUGUCCGUUCUUAUUUCCACGUUUGUUCCCAACCUUGUAAAGAAAGCAUCCAGUAGAUGCUGCAAACCUACGAAUGAAGCAGUGAUGUACAAGACAUACAGAACAUGGACAUAUGGGAGAGAGUCCAGAAAGAUGAUGAUGGUGCAUCUCUCUGAGUAAAAGCUGAGAUAACUGAGAAUGUUCAUCAUGGAUAACAAGAGGCUCAGGGUAGAUCUCAUCUGUGUGCCUGAAUACUUGGGGAAAAAAAGGAAGGGUCAAAGACAAUGGAGCCAGGUUCUUUUCAGUGGUGCCCAGUACCAGGACAAGGGGCGACAGGCAAAAACUGGAACACAAGAGUUUGCCUCUGAAAAGCAGAUUCAUUACCUCCUGAUAAGGAAGGAAGCAAAUUACGUAAUCCAGGAACAAUGGACAUUGUCCAUUCAUUCAUCCUCCGUACAUCUGGUCUGACUGAAAACACAGAUAAAUUUGUGCUGAGAGUGGCAAAAGACACAUCACUGAUAUAAAGGCUACUUCAUUUUCCUUCAGAUUAUCCUUCAGAUUAUCUUUUGAAGGGACGCUUUACCAGUUUUGAAGUUGUUUCUACCUGUGCUGAUUUUCAUAUUUUUAUCACCACUGGGGAAAAUAAAUAAAUAAAUAGAAAGACAGAAACAACCCCUCACUAUCUGAAUUCUGAUUACAAGGAAGAAGAAUGGUUGCAAACCGGAUCAAAGGUAAUGAAAACUAAUCUGAACUUCUAAAGAAAUAUUCAACAGAAACAGCUGCCUGUCUGUGUCACUACAGAAGAGAUCUCCUAUAUAGAACAAAAUAGAGUCUAGGGACACUCUUGUAGUGAAUCUACUCACACACACACACACACACACAAACUCCAAUGUCAACAAAUUCACACAUAUUAUUUUGUGGAUUUUCAACCUCUACAAACUUUCCAUUUUCAUUUUAAAUAUGUAAACAUUUCCAGCUCCCAGCCUAUGUAGGAAAUAUUUGGGCAUAGAGUGGGCAGAUAAUGUUAUGAUUUUUUAGAUAUUUAAAUAUAUGCUUGGAACCUCUUACAACAAUCUGCUUUCUAAGAUCUUGGCAAAAACUGAAUUUAUUAAAUGGCAUAGCUGUAUCUCUUUUAUAGACUUGUACAAGUUUUCCUAUUGCAUCUCACCCAACAAUAAAACCACACUUGUAAAUCUCCUUAAAAACUUCUUAAAACCCUAUCUUGUCAGCACACUGUUUCCAUUAUCAUGCUCCUAUUCAAACCUUGACAUAGCCUGGGUCAUGAGAUCUGGUCAAACUAUAACAGCUGGAUACAAAAAUGCUCAAGGGAGAGUGGAAAAUCAAACAGUGGGAAAGAUCUGAGGAACACUGGGAAGCUGCAGGUGGUAGACCUCUCACUAGUCAAGGUUAUUUGGAAGGACCUUUCCACUGUAUCUGUCUAAAAUGCCUUUUUAUCAGUUUUGCUAAGGGUUUAAACACUUUGUUUUGGAAAAUGAAACCAAAAUGAUAAGGAAAAUAUACUGAUGUCAACUGGGAGAUUAGGAUGCAUUUGAAUGCUAGACAUUUUGUCUACCUGUUUUAAAUAACUACUUUCUAUCUCAAAAUAUACAUUUGCAUAUAUAUGAACAGAUACAUAUAUGUGUAUGCAAUAUACUAUUUAGUAUAUGUAAACCCUGAUCAUCAUGCUGAUAGCACAGUCCAUUAUUUCUAGUGAAAAAUGUUUGAAUUCUUACUCUCACUUGUAAGUAUUUGCAUCGCAAACCCCACUCCAUUUAAUUUAGCUCACCCUCGGAAAAGUACUUCAGGUAUGGGACUGCUCCUCCAGCUGGAGAACUAAAGCACAGAGUGCCAGUAUGACUGAUUUACAAGCGUAAUGUUUCAGAUGGAAUGAGAACUGAAAUAGAGUGAGCGAGGACUUCAAGCACUUUCUGUCUUUUUAUAUUAAAAUAAAGCCACAAUAAAAAGUACCUAUCUUUUAACUUAAACAUAAGUAAAAUUAGUAUCACUCAAUGAUUCUUAAGCCUUAACUUUUCUUAAGCCUUUGAUCAUAGUAAAUAAGUAAACAUGCUUGCAAAAAAUCUCUGGAAAGUAUAUACAUGCAUAUAUAUAUAUAUAUAUAUUUAUCAUUGUUUUGUUUCUUAGAGGACAGAAUUAGGAUAGAAUUUUACCUGGCUCAGUCUCCAGAUUCUCAAGCUCCUUUCAAAUUCUGAUCCUCUUCACUUUCAUUUCAAGUUCAUGUUUUAAAAAACUUAAUGUCACUGUCUCUGUCAAAUCCAUACUAAUUAUAUUAUUUGAAUUGUAUUUCACCGUACCUAAGAACAUUAGAUUAUAAAAUAAAUAAAUAUACCCAGAUUUUGCUGAAAAGGACAGCAGCAAUAACAAAAAUAGGAAUCAAAAUGAAAUUAGAGUGAUAGGGACUUAUAAAUGAGUCUUACAUCUGGGAUCCUACUUUUAAUAUUCUUUUCUGUAGUGACUGAAAGUUUUAAUCAUCUUACAUCAGAUGUUACAGACUAUGUCCAUUGUUACCUUUGUAUCAGAGGCUUAUAGUUUAAUUCUGGAGACAAGCAUGUGUUUUGUAUUACAAGCAGACAGCUAUGGACAUCCCUGUAUUCAGACAUGAGAGACUAUGAUCUAAACUCACGUAUCUGAGAUCAUCUCCAAUACUAUGUUGGUGGCUGCCUGAAAGUUCUUUAUCUAGACUUUAGUCUAUUCACUUUGCUUUUUCGCCAGAGAGGAAUUCAAGUACACAGGGUUAAAGAGAACCACAGCAUGCUCAGAGAUUGGGACCUAAAUGCCCCCAGAGAGGGACUAGCCUGAAGAUUGAAUAGUCUUUUGCUAACAGAUGGUCUUUCAUGUGAUAAAUGAAGCAUAUGGAUAAAGGAAGAUAGAGAAGUUUAAAAAAACUGCUGCCUCUGAUGAAUUAUUUCUGAGGUUCAUAGAAUAUUUCACUUUACAUUGCUCUCAAAAGAAUUUUAAAAAAUCACAAGAAGGAAGAAUUUCUAUUGCACAUUUGUUUUGCCUUUCUUGGGCUUAUUUUUCUGUCACAGUGCAAUGUAUGUGCACUUUUAAGCUGCUACAAAAAUACAUUGUUUUGUUCUCUGUAUAUUUUUAACAUUUCUGUUCCAGUAUAAGAUCUUUACACAGUGAUUAUAGGGUACUUUCUAUUGUAUUCUAAAUGAAUCAGGUGACUUAGGAAGUCCAAUGCUUUCAUCCCACAUAGAUCAGACCAUUCCCAGCCAACUGCUCAACAUUCUAAAAAUCCAAAGUAAGGUUAUCUAUUUUACAUAAAGUUAUGCAGAUAUCUUUGUUGUAACCUGUCUUGUUCACUGUGUACAUGAGAUUGCUUGAGUAAUUAGAAUGAAAAUCUGUGCAGCUCUUCUACAGCACACAGAUCAAUGAUUCCUUCUCAGCAAACCAGCAAACCCAGAUGGCACAAUGUCUUUGCCUUCACAGUGUCUGGGUGCAAUUGAAACUUGGCACUGUGUUCAGACAAAAGAGAGAUUAUUGAGUGGGAUCGGAGGAAAAGAGGAGGACAGCAAGAAAGGGAUGGAAGGAAUUGGUUUUGCUCCUAUAAACAUAACUGAAGCUCAUCCUUACAAAAAAAUGUCGUAGUUUAGAGCUGUACGGUGUAACUAAUUUUUCUUGGAUACUCCAUCAUCAUAUGGGUUCAAAAUUAUUCUUUGAUGCAGUGAGGUUUUUUGCAACAUUAAAAACAAACAAACAUACAAAAACAUGUAAGGUCCAUAAAUGCCUGAGCAUACAUUUCAAUAUGCUGAUUCACAUCUGUACAUACAUGGGUUCUUGAAAUGCAUUUGACUGCAUUUGACCACAUUUGACCGCAUUUUCCUUUGUGUGCAAAGCAGCAGUUUGUUUCAGAUGAGCACAAAUAAAGUGAUGUCCAAAUAUCAGACAAGCAAGUGCUUGGUUUGAAAGCUGCAGUAGAUGCUACUCACAUGUUCUGUCAUAAGUCAAGGGCUGAAGUGUUGAGUGGAUAGUACACCAACCAGUAGAGAACAUGAUGCUCCUCUGAAACCGUUCAGUAUGAAAUUCAUAGUGGUUAAAGCUUUAUAUGAUGUGAGCAAAUACUUUUGGUUCUGUACAGAAAAUAACCCAUGUAAACCAAUCCAUAAUCUUAUCUUAAACAAGUGGUUUUUUAGAGCAACAUACUAUCUAAGAAAAAGUGAGUUCAUUCCUCUUGUCAUUCUGAGCUGACUAAAACUGGAGAAACUUUAGUUAUCAUGUCAAGGCAAAUGGAUUUCUAAUAUUUCUUCCCAGCGGCACUUACUUAUUCAGACUCUGUUAUAACACUAUCACAUGGCUUGUAUCCUGCUACCUUGGAACUGUCAUAAGCAGACAGAUUCCUGUCUGCUCUUACCACAGUGUUUAGAAGAAUACUGAGUGUGUGACAUAGUCCGUAUCAUCCUGAUGUGUGUAGAUUUGUGGGUAGUUUUUGCAGAAAAUAUUCAGGGAAAGGGGUCUUAAACAAGAACUUUCUGAAAAGUUCAGUUGACUUUACUAAAACAAUUUCUGCUACACAAGUUAUAAACUAAUACUGAAUCUCAGCAAUUCAUAUUCAGUGUUACUAGUCAUCAGAUGGAAUCUCUGUAGUUGGUAGAAAAAAACUGACCAGUGUAGUUGCCAAGCCACUCUUAAUGAUAUUUAAAAAGUCAUGGCAGUUAGAUGAAGUCUCUGGUGACUGGAAAAAAGGGCAACAUCACACCCAUUUUAAAGAAGGGUAGAAAGAGCAACCAAGGAAACUACUGACCUGUCAGUCUCACAUCUGCGCUGAGGAAGACCAUGGAACAUAUCCUCCUGGAAGGUAUGCUAAGGCAUAUGAAGGAGAAAGAGGUGAUACAAGAAAGCCAUCAUGAUUUCACCAAGGGCAAGUCUUGCCUGACCAACCUAGUGAACCUUCUUUAAUAGUGUAACUGUGUCAAUGGACAAAGGGAGAGCCACUGAUGUAAUUUAUCUGGACUUCAGAAAGUCCUUUGACAUUGUUCCCCACACAACACCCUGCUUUCAAAUUGGAAAGAUAUGGAUUUGAUGGGUGGGCUGUAUGAUGGAUGAGGAAUUGGUCACAAGAUUGUUCCCAGAGAUUGAUGGUCAAUGACUCAGUGCCUAGAUGGAGAUCAGUGACAAGUGGUGUCCCUCAAGGUGUGAGUACUGGGACUAAUUCUCUUUAAUAUCUUCAUCAACUACAUGAACUAUCUAGACUGAACAUGAGCCAGCAGUGUGUCCAGGUGGCCAAGAAGGCCAAUGGCAUCCUGGCUUGUAUCAGAAAUAGUGUGGCCAGCAGGAAC